UUAAAGUGAAUCCAUAUUACUCUGCUCCCUGUGAGGUCCCUUGCUAACCCCAUUAACUCCUACAUCGAAAACCGUUACAUGAAAAAAUCGAUUUAUGUGACAAGUGUUUAGUCGUUAAAGUUACUUCAAACAACCUUUUUCAAGAUUUAUCGAUAUAGUCAAAAAUGUCUAGGGUGAAAACUAUAGGUCUGUACUUCUCUCUCUCACACAAGUGUUUAUACAAUCAAUCACAGAGGUGUAGACUGAAACAACAUAUCGUUCACUCUCUCUCAUAAUAUGUCAACCUUUUACAAGAUUUAUGCAUGUAUCAGAUUGCUAUGUGCUUAUAACAUUGCUUGAAUGAUAAGAAUAUAGAUAAGAAUCUGAAAAGGUGAAUGUGAUUUGAAAAGGGGGAGGUGCGCCCACCCACAUCUGUGGGAGCACGAGAAGGAGGGGGCGAGCGCUUGCCUGCACAGCUGUGUGCCUCUAGCGGUAAGUCUACUGAGCAUGCUCACAACAAACUAUAAAAGACCUGCUCACCUUAUUUAAAUUAUCAUUCACAACAGAGCAGCUGAAGCAUUUCUUCUGUGUGAUAUUCAUUACAAACUUAUCAACAUCGUCAACAACAGAUUAUCAUCAGAUCAGAUUUGUCAAAUCAUACUAGAGAACUUGAUCAAUAGAUUCACUACACAAUCUCAAAGCACGUGCGAGCGAGAGCGUGGUACAAGGCGAAAAAAAAAAAUUCGAAUUU